UACGAAGGGGGCUAGCGUUGCUCGGAAUCGCUGGGCGUAAAGGGUGCGUAGGCGGGUCUUUAAGUCAGGGGUGAAAUCCUGGAGCUCAACUCCAGAACUGCCUUUGAUACUGAGGAUCUUGAGUACGGGAGAGGUGAGUGGAACUGCGAGUGUAGAGGUGAAAUUCGUAGAUAUUCGCAAGAACACCAGUGGCGAAGGCGGCUCACUGGCCCGUUACUGACGCUGAGGCACGAAAGCGUGGGGAGCAAACAGG
rnacentral:rRNA from 1 species